GAGCACCACGUUCAAAUUCAUGCCCCCGAACCACUCCUUCAACUCCACCGCUACUCUCUCGGAGCCUCCGCCUCGGCACUUUUUCUCCUCCUCCCACAGCUUAUAAUAAAGCUCUUUAAAGGAUUGAUUAAUUGCUCGAUCCUACGGCUGGACAGAAGCUCUACCGAGCUGACUUUGCGCAGCUCCCGUGUUGAAAAUAGUAAUUCAUAUUUCCAAUAAAGAAGUUGGAACAUCAUUCAAAAAUGAAGACUUGACUUGUAGAAGUCAAGAAGGUUUCUUGUAAUUUGUUAAGGCUUUUACAUUUCCUAAGAAGGGACUUGCAAUGGAGUGUCUCUUUGUAUUCAUUCCUACCCUAUAAAUUGUACCCAAGAUCAGAUUUGUAAGCUAGCAAGAAAGCAAUAACAACAACUAAAAACUAAGAAUUUC
rnacentral:lncRNA from 1 species